GUCUUCAUGGCGCAGUUGGUUUAGCGCGUUGGUCUCAUAAACAAAUAUUUGUGAUCAGAUGAAUAAUCUGGGCCAUCCAAAGGUCGCGAGUUUCGAGUCUCGCUGAGGACA
rnacentral:tRNA from 1 species